rnacentral:lncRNA from 1 species
GUAGCAGUUACAUUGUUUGGCUUAAACAGAUCAGUAUCCUUCCACGUGGUGGGAGGCCAGGUUAGGCCGAGUCACAUUCGAAAUAGCGUGAGGUCGGGUUGGAUCGAGUUAUGUUCGAAAUGGCAUGAAACUAAUUGAGCUGAGUCACAAUCAAAAUCCGUAGGUGAUGUAUAUGUACGUUUUAAUUAAAUUGAUUGUGUAUUUUUAAUAGCUUAAAUGUUUGAAAAUAAUGGUUAGCGCUAACGAUUCAACCCAUAUCACAUCACGUCAAUUAUAUAUGAUCAAUUAAAUAUAUUUUUAAUAAAAGUAUAAUAAUAUUAUUAUUUUAUAAAUCAUGAUAGGAAAGAUGUAUCUUAAGAGGCAAUUGUGAUUGAUUGAGCC